ACUACGGGUGGCAGCAGUGAGGAAUAUUGGUCAAUGGGCGCAAGUCUGAACCAGCCAAGUAGCGUGAAGGAUGACUGCCCUACGGGUUGUAAACUUCUUUUAUAAAGGAAUAAAGCUCGGCACGUGUGCCCUUUUGUAUGUACUUUAUGAAUAAGGAUCGGCUAACUCCGUGCCAGCAGCCGCGGUAAUCCGGAGGAUCCGAGGGUUAUCCGGAUUUAUUGGGUUUAAAGGGAGCGUAGAUGGGUUGUUAAGUCAGUUGUGAAAGGUUGCAGCUGAACCGUGGAAUUGCAGUUGAUACUGGCGGUCUUGAGUGCAGUUGGGGUAGGCGGAAUUCAUGGUGUAGCGGUGAAAUGCUUAGAUAUCACGAAGAACUCCGAUUGCGAAGGCAGCUUACUAAGCUGCAUCUGACAUUGAGGCUCGAAAGUGUGGGUAUCAAACAGGAUUAGAUACCCGAGUAGUC
rnacentral:rRNA from 1 species